AAAAGAAAAGAAAGAAAACCCAUCAGGAGAGGUUCCAACGUGUGAGAGAGAGAGAGAGAGAGAGAGAGAGAGAGAGAUCAGCCGGUGGAAGAAGGAGAAGAGAAAGGGGAAGUGAGAGCUAGGUUGAAUUGGAAACUUUGUAAGGUAACAAGCCGAUCAAUUGGAGAGAUUCCGAAACUGUAAGUUUGGCGUACCUCGAUCGAUACAAGGUAACAAGCCGAUCAAUUGGAGAGAUUCCGAAACUGUAAGUUUGGCGUACCUCGAUCGAUACAAGGUGAGUGUGUCUGAUAUGGUUCUUCCCAAUAAAAUGUUGCUGUGGUGGUAGCAGGUUGCGUAGAGUGGGUCCACUACCGGUCAUCGUGUUGAGAAGUGUUUGGGCUAGCAUUAGAUGAUGUGGAUGAACGAGUUGGUUGUAGGUAGUAAACUAAAAAGUUGAUUUAUGUAAGUUAUAAAUAAGUCGUUGGUGGAUGUAUUAAAGUGUAAAAUUUUUAAAGUAUUGUAAAACUAUAUUGUUGUUUA